AGUAGUCCCAAGUCGGACAAACCAUCUCAUUUCCAUCUGUAGCCAAAGAGUCGCCGUCAGACAACUGCAAAACCCCAUGCACAGACAGCAGAAAUGUCUGAAUCUGGGGAGUCUGGAGGGGAGAUGGAAGAUGCAGAGUGGGUGCCGAAAAAAGCAGCCGAAGGAUCCAAGAAAAGCCUGUCAGGGAUAUGAUCCAGCGUUCCUGCCACGGCUGAUGUGGAAACAGGCAGUGUGGCUACAGGAAGCAGAAGUGAGGCUGUGCCACAGGCUGUCACUGUGAUGCAACAAAAUGUAUCUGCUGGACCAUCCUGAGGACCAAACGAGAUUCUGAAGGAUCCUUCAAACUGGACGAUCCCACUGACGUGACUGCUGGGGAGACCACCUCUGAACCAAUAUGUAUC